UACAGAGGUCUCAAGCGUUGUUCGGAUUUAUUGGGCGUAAAGGGCGCGUAGGCGGCGGGGUAAGUCGGGUGUGAAAUCUCAGGGCUCAACCCUGAAACUGCACUUGAUACUGCUCUGCUUGAGGACUGGAGAGGAGACUGGAAUUCACGGUGUAGCAGUGAAAUGCGUAGAUAUCGUGAGGAAGACCAGUGGCGAAGGCGGGUCUCUGGGCAGUUCCUGACGCUGAGGCGCGAAGGCCAGGGGAGCAAACGGG
rnacentral:rRNA from 1 species